UUUGUAUUAGGUAUGUAAUGGUACAAUACAAAAUAAAUAAAUAAAGCAAACAAACAAAAAAAAUUGCAUGUAUCUUGGCUCUGAAGUAGGGCUGUGCAAAAAAUCGAAUACGAUUUUCAUGCGCAUCUCAUCAGUAAAGACGCUCCUGUGAUUAGUAGUAUAUCUCCAGCACGUGCGUUCAGAUCAGGGUUGCCAGGUUUUCACAACAAAUCCUGCCCAGUUGCUUCUCAAAACUAGUCCAAAACUAGCCCAAUCGCGUUUCCAGGAGGUUCCCCGAUAAAAAAAUUGCAUCCCGGGGUUAAAAUGUACGUUUUUUGGCAUGGUUGCCUUGGUAAAAUUCUCAUUUUAGGGGCUAAAUAUCACGUUAUUGGUAUUGGGGUCGCUUCAACCCGCGGACAUGGAAAAACAACCGCAGACUUGGCAACACUGGUUCAGGUGGAGCGGCAUUUACUACACAGAGCCGUAGUCCACCGACAAGCUACACAAAAUCGCUUUCAAAAUCGACAAAGACUGUCAGUGAAUUACGGCUCUGUGUAGUAAAUGCCAACCAGUGUUGCCAAGUCUGUGGUUGUUUUUCGUGUUCGCGGGUUGAAGCGACCCCAAUACCAAUAACGUGAUAUUUAGCCCCUAAAAUGAGAAUUUUACCAAGGCAACCAUGCCAAAAAACGUACAUUUUAACCCCGGGAUGCAAUUUUUUUAUCGGGGAACCUCCUGGAAACGCGAUUGGGCUAGUUUUGGACUAGUUUUGAGAAGCAACUGGGCAGGAUUUGUUGUGAAAACCUGGCAACCCUGAUCUGAACGCACGUGCUGGAGAUAUACUACUAAUUACAGGAGCGUCUUUACUAAUGAGAUGCGCAUGAAAAUCGUAUUCGAUUUUUUGCACAGCCCUACUCUGAAGUCACGGUUUGGUACAUUUUCAGUACAGCAGGGAGAAAAACUAAACAUAUUUUUUUUUUUUUUUUUUUUAAUUAAACAGUGGCUUACUUAAAACGUGUGUAUGUAAAUAAAUAAAUUCAAUUAUAUUUACAAUUUUCUCAUCAAAGAGAGUCAAAAUGGCAUUUAUUGUUUGGAUCUCCUAAUAAAAUGGACAUAAUUUGAAGGAUGACACUUUGUUUCAAAAGUAACAAAACAUGAAUUAUUGGACAAGAACUUCCAAGAUCAUUCAGUCACUAUUCUUACACUAAAAAGAUGCAACUCUGGCAACAGUGCAGAUAUGUCUUUAAAAUAGCUUGUCAAGAGCAACCUCUCCUCUCCUCUCAGUGAGAGAAAUGAGAUUGUGAGAGGGUGAGAUCCACAGCACCAGAAGUGACAGCCCGUCUUUGCCCUCAAGCCCAUGCUAAUUAGGAAACACUGUUAAUUAACUUGUUUGCAACCAGCACUGCACACUUCUAUACAACAGUGCCUCAACAUUUCCCCGCAAGCGAGUCAGUUCCUCCCAGCCCCUCAUAACACACACAAGCACGCAAUCUGGCACACACAAAUAAACACACACACACACACACACACACACACUUCUGCUGAGGCGCGUCUCUCAAAUUAGACACGGAUGAAAAAGCAAACAGUGAGAAAACUGCACAGAGCCCAGCAGUGUGGGAAGGAAAUGCACCCAGCAAUUAUACCAGAGGCUGAAAGUAAGUUUGAACAGAGGACUAGAGGGAACACACUGGAUUAAACUCCAAUGAGAGAGCAAUCGCCUACUUAACUAGCACACUCAACAAAGAGGAGAACUGGGACCUGAAUGCAAACC
ensembl:lncRNA